rnacentral:rRNA from 1 species
CCAGACUCCUACGGGAGGCAGCAGUGGGGAAUAUUGCACAAUGGGGGAAACCCUGAUGCAGCAACGCCGCGUGAAGGAAGACGGUUUUCGGAUUGUAAACUUCUGUUCUUAGUGAAGAAGAAUGACGGUAGCUAAGGAGCAAGCCACGGCUAACUACGUGCCAGCAGCCGCGGUAAUACGUAGGUGGCAAGCGUUGUCCGGAUUUACUGGGUGUAAAGGGCGUGCAGCCGGGCCGACAAGUCAGAUGUGAAAUCCGCGGGCUUAACCCGCGAACUGCAUUUGAAACUAUUGGUCUUGAGUACCGGAGAGGUCAUCGGAAUUCCUUGUGUAGCGGUGAAAUGCGUAGAUAUAAGGAAGAACACCAGUGGCGAAGGCGGAUGACUGGACGGCAACUGACGGUGAGGCGCGAAAGCGUGGGGAGCAAACAGGAUUAGAUACCCCCGUA